UUUUGUUUCUCAUGGCCAAAAAAUUCAUAAUUAUUUUAUUUUGCUAUCAAAUUUCCCCUGGCUACAGAAGUACAAGAACUUCUGCACUGAGAAAUGUAUUCACCUUAAAUUAGUUUAACCCUCUUGUGGUUUUUCAAACAAAAAUCCAGCAAUGUGCAAAGGUACAGUUCAUUCAGAGAGAAGCAGAGUGAAACAAGUACUACAGUCUGAAUGCAAAAGCUUGCUUUGGUUUAGUUUUAAACAUUGAGGAAAUUAAUUGCUGAUGAACCAUACUAGUGCAUCACUUGAAUUACAUUUUAUCGCAAAAGUAGAAGCAGCAAGUUCUGCUUUCCCAGCUGUAAAUCAGCCUCACUAGUGAUAUACAGCUGUACAGAGGAAGCUGAAUUAUGGUUGUAGCAAACUAGGAAAAUGCCUAUAUUAUCUUUUGUGAAUAUUACUUAUAGAUCUCCUUUAUUUAUUUGUGUAUCACUUGCUGCAUGGUUGUAUAAGAAGUUUGAGGAGAUGAGGCAUCCUUUGUUGUCCAGCUUCUUCAGAGUUCAAACAAGGACUUGGUUCUUUGCUUAGACCGGUUCUCUCUAGGCAACAAUAAGGAUUACAUUUUGAAUCUCUUAGAACAGAGUGGGACUUGGUUGAGCUGGAAGAGGCUGGCUGUACAAGAGAAAGCUUCUGUGCUUGCAGAGCCUCAAGAAUUGUUGAGUGAUUGUUGGAGCUCAGUGAAGGUGUAGUGAGCAGAAUAGCUGUGGAGCACUCAGACUCAAAUGCAGGAGCACUAACCAGACAUGAGUCUGAAAUAGCACUUUGC